rnacentral:tRNA from 2 species
GCCUGGCUGGCUCAGUCAGUGGAGCAUGAGACUCUUGAUCUCAGGGUUGUGAGUUCAAGCCCCACGUUGGGCA